UACGGAGGGUGCGAGCGUUGUCCGGAAUCACUGGGCGUAAAGGGUGCGUAGGCGGUUCGUUAAGUCUGUUGUGAAAUCCCCGGGCUCAACCUGGGAAUGGCAAUGGAUACUGGCGGGCUAGAGUGUGUCAGAGGAUGGUGGAAUUCCCGGUGUAGCGGUGAAAUGCGUAGAGAUCGGGAGGAACAUCAGUGGCGAAGGCGGCCAUCUGGGACAACACUGACGCUGAAGCACGAAAGCGUGGGGAGCAAACAGG
rnacentral:rRNA from 1 species